AGGGCAUGAUGUGGACAUUUUCUCAACAACUCCUUGAAUCGCUCCCAUGCAUCAUAAAGUGACUCUCCAUCCUUCUGAGCGAAGGUGUUAAUUUCAUUCCUCAACUU